rnacentral:misc_RNA from 1 species
GAUGAAGAACGCAGCGAAAUGCGAUAAGUAAUGUGAACUGCAGAAUUCAGUGAAUCAUCGAAUCUUUGAACGCACAUUGCGCCCGCCAGCACUCUGGCGGGCAUGCCUGUCCGAGCGUCAUUUCAACCCUCGCGCCGUCCCUCCAGGGGGCUCGGCGCGGUGUUGGGGGACACGGCCCCGGCCGCCCCCGAAAUGCAGUGGCGACCCCGCCGCGGCCCCUCCAGCGCAGUAAGCACGCUCGCUACGGGAGGCCCGGUGGACGCGUCCGCCGUAAAACGCCCAACUCUUCAGAAGUUGACCUCGGAUCAGGUAGGGAUACCCGCUGAACUUAAGCAUAUCAAUAAGCGGAGGA